UAUUACGUUAUAUUUCCAAGAAAAGUUUAUUUUAUUUAAAUAAAAAAUAUCAGUACUUAAACCAACACAGGUAAGUUAGUAGAGUAUACUACGGAGCGCGAAAUAACUCUCUCUAAGGAACUCGGCAAAUUAACUUUUUAACUUCGGGAGAAAAAGUACCUUUUGGUUGCAAUAACAAGAUUCAAACGACUGUUUAACAAAAACACAGGUUUCUGCUAAGUUGUAAAACGAUGUAUAGAAGCUGACACCUGCCCAGUGCUAGUUGGUUAAUGAAAUUUGUUAAUACACAAAUAACAAAAGCCCUAGUGAACGGCGGCCGUAACUAUAACGGUCCUAAGGUAGCGAAA
rnacentral:rRNA from 13 species